CUUGGGACUGGAUGAGAUUACCAAGGGAGGAAAUGUAGAUAAACAAGAAGAGAAAGGACUGAGUUCUGGAACACUACAAAUUUAAGAGACUGGGGAAAAGAGGAGAAACCCAGAAAAUCUACCUUGGAGAUCACUUCCGAAUAGUACACUGAGAGCAGCAUCAUUCUUUGAAAUAAUAGUUAUAACGUGAAAUACUUCCUGCCUCCGUGAAAUCCAGCUCCCAGUGAAUUUCUGUUGGUUUAGAGAGCAACUUGAGGAUUUCGCAUUUGGCACCAUUCAAUUUCCUUGGCAUCUCUCCAUAGUCACCAUUUAGAAAGCUCCUGAUGUUGUUGCAAGUCAUCAUCGCUGCUAAUGUCCAUUGAGCCCUUAUAGCCUACCAGCCACUAGCUCAGCGUUCUACAUGUAUUAAUUUGUUGAACUCUCACAAAAAUCCUAUGAGGUGGGUAUUGUUAUUAUUGUAAUUUUUAUAGUGAAGAAAUAGAUGUUGGAGAUUGUCUUAUACGAGCUGGUCACACAGCUAGCAAGUGAUGAGACUGAGAUGUGUCACUGGCAGUCUGACUUCAGAUUCUGCAUAGGAAAGAGAAAGGGAGUAGAACUAGUCAGUGGUUUAAGAUAUUUACUUGAUUUCAUAGUUGGUAUAUAUACUUUUGUCUAAUUGGGAGGUGACUAAAGCCAUCUGUGUCUGGUUGAUGUGUUGGUUGAAAAUUACUAUUAUUAUGAGGAUGAUUAUUAUAGUAUUUAGUAAUUAUGCAGUGCUUUAUACUUCAAAGAGCUAUGCUUUAUAAUCAUUUAUUAGCUAUGUCUCACAACAACUCUAAGAUAUAAAGAUGCAUUUAUCAUGCAUAUUUUGUGGAAAGAGAAGCUGAGACAAGGUAAGAUGGGCAGUGUUUUGAUAAAAAAGGAGUAAGAGUGGAAGGCAACCUCUUAAAUUCCUGAUACUACAUAAUACAAUGUGGACAAUAGAAAUUUAAUUAAUUUAAACCUUUUAAAGCAGUGUCAGUUCCAAUACUUGUUCAUGAUAUUUAAUUAAAAAUAAAAUGUAAAAUAUGCCAAAGGUUGAUAAUCAUUCCCUUUUAGGUUCUCUAUUUUGAGCUUUCUCUGCAUUUGUGUCAAUGUGACAUUUUUGCUCAAAUUCAACCUUGACAUCUCUCAUUUCUCCACGCAAGCACAAUUUGACUAGAGAUACUGGUUUUCAAUGUCAAUAUUAUAUGGCUUCAAAUUGCUUCCGUUGUUUGUGAAACCACAUGCAUAGGAUUCGUCAUGAUAACGUUUAAUAGAAACAAACUUCAUGCAAGAAUUAUAUGGAAAUUAAAAGAAGUUUUAGACAUCUGGCAGACUGUCCAUUUCAAAAUGAAGAUUAUAAACAUGUCAAUAUGACUUGGGGUGGGAAGGGGAAAAGGAUCUAUGUGGGUUUAUUAUAGUGACCUAUAAAAGGCCUGGAAGAGAUUUAUGCAGUCUUCUAUAAAUCUGGUUGUCUCUUUCAGUUGGGAGGCAGUCAUGGCCAUGGCACAUGGAAAAGGAUCAAUAAAUAUUAGUUUAGUGGUUAUAAAUGUGUCUCUGGGGACAGACUGCCUGGAUUCUAAUCCUGACCCCAUCAUUUGCUAGCUACCUGAACUAGCUUUGCUUGUGUCUCCAUCCAGGGAAAAAUUAAUUAAAAAAAAAAAAAGAAUUAUGCCCCAUAGGGUUGUUUGUCAUCAGAUCUAUUUAAGUAAUUGCUAUUAUUUGUCUUUUGUCUUUCCAAGGCUGCUGACGAAUAAACUUAGCUACAACUCCAUUAAAACGUUGGUGGUAAUGAUAUUUAUAAUUUGAUGUCUGCACUUGUCUUGCUUUUUUAGAAAUGGUACAAUGUGGCCAGGCAUGGUGGCUCACACCUGUAAUCCCAGCACUUUGUGAGGCCAAGGUGGGCAGAU